UGGGGAAUAUUGUUCAAUGGACUAAAAGUCUGAAACAGCAAUGCCGCGUGGAUGAUGAAGGCCUUCGGGUUGUAAAGUCCUUUCGAUAGGGAAGAAGCAAUGACGGUACCUAGAGAAGAAGCCACGGCUAAUCACGUGCCAGCAGCCGCGGUAAGACGUGAGUGGCAAGCGUUAUCCGGAAUUACUGGGCGUAAAGAGCGCGUAGGCGGUCUUGAAAGUCAGAGGUGAAAAGUCAGGGCUUAACCUUGGCCUUGCCUUUGAAACUUCAAGACUAGAGUGUUGGAUAGGAGGGAGGAACUACCAGUGUAGCGGUGGAAUGCGUAGAUAUUGGUAGGAACGCCGAUGACGAAGGUAUCUCUCUGGACAAAGACUGACGCUGAGGUGCGAGAGCUAGGGGAGCAAACAGG
rnacentral:rRNA from 1 species